rnacentral:rRNA from 1 species
AGGGUAUUAUUGGUUGAACAAACCAUCUUUAUGUGACUUUUGCGCCACAUAGAUUCCCUAAGCCAACAUCGAGGUGCCAACCCCUAUUAUUGAUAAGGACUCUUUAAUAGGAUUAGCCUGUUAUCCCUAAGGUAGCUUGUUCUUGUGAUCUUUGCCAAGGGUCAGUAUUUAGAUUUAUUAAUCUUUUUAUAAGGGAUGAUUAGUUUUCCCUGGUCGCCCCAACCGAAUUUUAUUAAAGUUUAAUUCUUUAUUAAAAUGAAGCUCUAUAGGGUCUUCUUGUCCUUCGAUUUAAUCUAACACUCUUCAGUUAGAGAUUAAUUUUUAUGGGGCUUAUAGAGACAGUUUUUAUUUCGUUGGUCCGUUCAUUCUAGCCCACAAUUAAUGGGCAAGUGAUUAUGCUACCUUUGCACGGUUAGGAUACCGCGGCCGUUGAAUAAUAUCACUGGGCAGGAAUUACUUCUUAUUUAUUGCAAGAAGCA